GGCUCGGGCCGCGAUCGGACGAUCUGUUGAUGUUGAUCCUGAUUUUUAACAACAGGAUCAACAGAUCGUCCGAUCGCGGCCCGAGCC
rnacentral:misc_RNA from 1 species